GACGAACGCUGGCGGCAUGCCUAAUACAUGCAAGUCGAACGAACCAUCCUGAAGAUUGAAGCUUGCUUCAUGAUUCAGACCUUGGUGAGUGGCGGACGGGUGAGUAACACGUGGGUAACCUGCCCAAAAGUGGGGGAUAACAUCUGGAAACAGGUGCUAAUACCGCAUAACAACUACUUUCACAUGAUCGUAGCUUGAAAGAUGGCUCUGCUAUCGCUUUUGGAUGGACCCGCGGCGUAUUAGCUAGUUGGUGAGGUAAUAGCUCACCAAGGCAAUGAUACGUAGCCGACCUGAGAGGGUAAUCGGCCACAUUGGGACUGAGACACGGCCCAAACUCCUACGGGAGGCAGCAGUAGGGAAUCUUCCACAAUGGGCGAAAGCCUGAUGGAGCAAUGCCGCGUGAGUGAAGAAGGUUUUCGGAUCGUAAAACUCUGUUGUUGAAGAAGAACAUGCGUGAGAGUAACUGUUCACGUACUGACGGUAUUCAACCAGAAAGCCACGGCUAACUACGUGCCAGCAGCCGCGGUAAUACGUAGGUGGCAAGCGUUGUCCGGAUUUAUUGGGCGUAAAGAGAAUGUAGGCGGUUUAUUAAGUUUGAAGUGAAAGCCCUCGGCUCAACCGAGGAAGUGCUUCGAAAACUGGUAAACUUGAGUGCAGAAGAGGAAAGUGGAACUCCAUGUGUAGCGGUGGAAUGCGUAGAUAUAUGGAAGAACACCAGUGGCGAAGGCGGCUUUCUGGUCUGUAACUGACGCUGAGAUUCGAAAGCAUGGGUAGCAAACAGGAUUAGAUACCCUGGUAGUCCAUGCCGUAAACGAUGAGUGCUAAGUGUUGGAGGGUUUCCGCCCUUCAGUGCUGCAGCUAACGCAUUAAGCACUCCGCCUGGGGAGUACGAUCGCAAGAUUGAAACUCAAAGGAAUUGACGGGGGCCCGCACAAGCGGUGGAGCAUGUGGUUUAAUUCGAAGCAACGCGAAGAACCUUACCAGGUCUUGACAUACCAUGAAAAGCUAAGAGAUUAGUCUUUCCCUUCGGGGACAUGGAUACAGGUGGUGCAUGGUUGUCGUCAGCUCGUGUCGUGAGAUGUUGGGUUAAGUCCCGCAACGAGCGCAACCCUUAUUAUCAGUUGCCAGCAUUCAGUUGGGCACUCUGGUGAGACUGCCGGUGACAAACCGGAGGAAGGUGGGGACGACGUCAAAUCAUCAUGCCCCUUAUGACCUGGGCUACACACGUGCUACAAUGGUCGGUACAACGUGCUGCGAACUCGCGAGGGUAAGCAAAUCACUUAAAACCGAUCUCAGUUCGGAUUGUAGGCUGCAACUCGCCUACAUGAAGCUGGAAUCGCUAGUAAUCGCGGAUCAGCAUGCCGCGGUGAAUACGUUCCCGGGCCUUGUACACACCGCCCGUCACACCAUGAGAGUUUGUAACACCCAAAGUCGGUGGGGUAACCCUUCGGGGAACUAGCCGCCUAAGGUGGGACAAAUGAUUAGGGUG
rnacentral:rRNA from 1 species